rnacentral:lncRNA from 1 species
ACUUCUCUCCAGGACGCAAGGUCUAUUAUCCCAACAGAAGAGAAAAUAUUUUUAUAUUUAAGGAUUAUGCUGCACUGUACUGCGAUACUGCAGUACCUUUUUUUUCUUUUUUUAAAGAAAUGGAAAAUGUUUACUAUGCCAGGGACCUCAGCACUGCCCUCCCGUGUAGGCUGUAUAAAACUGUUUUUAUGUCAGUGAUUUUAGACUGACUCCAUUUAAAUUAUGUUUGUAUAUGAACUUUACUCUGACCUGUGAUCAUGUUUCAGGAAGGAAUAAAAGAGAGGUCUUUUCUUAAUAAAGAAAAAUCACUCAAGGACUUUGUUCACUUUCCAAAGCUACUUGUUUACAUUGUACACUGCGACCACCUUGCCGCUCCCAUCACAAGCUUGAAUAUUUAAAUCCUGUACUUAAGUUUGUAAUAUAGCCGGGAAUUUCCUGUCUGUGAUUAUUAUUAUGCCUUUUUACAGAAGAAGAUGGCUGUAAAUUAUUGUAAAUGGAUUAAAUGAGCUGCCCUGCCCUGCCCUUCUCAGGCUUCUUUUGACUGUUCCUUUCCCUACCAACUCAGGCCUUCUUAUUAAAAAAAAAAAUCAGUGUAAUAACACUUUUUAAUGAUUUGUCUUGAUGGAAUCAUUGUUUAGAAUGUAAAAAUGGGGAAAGGGGCCACUUAUUUCUUUUAGUCCUUUUUAUAUUGAGUAUUUUUAUUAGAUACAUGUUUUGCCCCUCCUUUUUAAAGUCAAUAUUGUGUUUGUAGUUUUACAGAAGCAGUGGCGAGGGUUACAUGUGAGACAAACUCGGUGCUCUGGGAGAGUCCCCAGUGCAUUGGGUUGAAAGGGUGGUAGGUGUAUGAACACUUAAAAUCCAAACGGCCAAACGUUCUUGUAAAUGCAUUGCUUUUCCCUUUCAUGUGGGCAAUAAUGUCAAACGUGCUAUGCAGCCAGGUUAACAUUUGAGGUAAACUUGAUUGGCUUUAAUAUAAAAACUGUUACAGUACACACUGAUUGUAUAUAAAAACCUUAUAUAUGACAAAUUAAAUUUUAAGAAAAAGGAUAUGUGGGCUCCUGUAGUUUUCUGCUGCAUUCUUGUUUCCACGAGCAUUUAAUCUUUGCUUUAAGUAACAGCUGCCAGAAAGAAAGGUAUUUUGGUCAGCAACUGAGAACUGUUGAUAUGUAAUCCUAAAACUGCCUACGUCUGUAUAGAUGAAUCAGUCUUCUAUGAAGUAAAACAGAUUCUAGCAGUCUCGGCUUCCUGUAGACAUUCCUCUAGGAUGUCUUACUCGUCACCUCGUUUCUCCUUAUAUUCAGUGGGAAUUUUGGAUGUAUGUUGUGUAACCAUUAAUAACCUUUACUCCUGGUCAUGUCUCCAUGGAGUAGCUGUGGGGCUACCUAAAGUUAGUCUGUGGCUUUGUAUUUUCAUAUCUUUUUUUUUACAUGGAUAAAUAUAAAAUUUAUGCUGUGUAUACAAACAAACUUUUUUUUUUUAAAAGGAAUUUCAUCUUUGGCCUAAAGUUAUCCUGAAGCAAACAAUGUCUUUUUAUUUUUGAUAUGCAAGGUAAUGUGUUGGGGAAUAACUCAACUUUUAAACGUCUAGUUAUAAUUAAAGAUAAAAACGAUGAUAC